rnacentral:sRNA from 1 species
GUGUUAGUUCUUAUUUCGACAAAAGUAUACAGUUCAUGUUUAUUUUUGUGGGGAUAAGACCCUAUCAUGGUUAUAAUGGAAUUCGGUGUAUCCAUCUUCCAAAUGGUGAGCACUUGUGUUUAUCAUAUGAUUUCGCACCGAUAACCGUUAUUUGUUUUCAUUCAUCUCAUUUGCCAUGUAGUUUUCGUUUGUGCCUCAUCCCGUUAAGCAUAAACAUUCGAACAUGAUGGCGUGCCUAGUCAAUUGACUGGGCUUUUUUUG